rnacentral:rRNA from 1 species
GGAAUAUUGCGCAAUGGAGGAAACUCUGACGCAGCCAUGCCGCGUGCAGGAAGAAGGCGCUACGCGUUGUAAACUGCUUUUAACCGGGAAGAAACCCCAGGACGUGUCCUGGGUUGACGGUACCGGAGGAAUAAGCACCGGCUAACUUCGUGCCAGCAGCCGCGGUAAUACGAAGGGUGCAAGCGUUAUCCGGAUUCAUUGGGUUUAAAGGGUGCGUAGGCGGGGCAAUAAGUCAGUGGUGAAAUCCUGCGGCUUAACCGUAGAAUUGCCAUUGAUACUGUUGCUCUUGAGUAGGCUCGACGUGGGCGGAAUGUGCCGUGUAGCGGUGAAAUGCUUAGAUAUGGCACAGAACACCGAUAGUGAAGACAGCUCACGAGGGCCAAACUGACGCUGAGGCACGAAAGCGUGGGGAUCGAAC